rnacentral:tRNA from 1 species
CGGGGCGUAGCUCAGUUUGGGAGAGCGCUACCUUGGGUGGUAGAGGUCGCAGGUUCAACUCCUGUCGCUCCGACCA